AACCUAUAGACCCAGGGAACUCAAGGAGUUUGAGUUCUCUUUUGCAACCCCAGGUCAGGUGGGGCUACCCGCUGAGUUUAAGCAUAUC
rnacentral:rRNA from 1 species